rnacentral:rRNA from 1 species
CACGUAGGGUGCGAGCGUUGUCCGGAAUUAUUGGGCGUAAAGAGCUCGUAGGCGGUCUGUCGCGUCUGCUGUGAAAAUCCAGGGCUCAACCCUGGACCUGCAGUGGGUACGGGCAGACUAGAGUGCGGUAGGGGAGAUCGGAAUUCCUGGUGUAGCGGUGAAAUGCGCAGAUAUCAGGAGGAACACCGGUGGCGAAGGCGGAUCUCUGGGCCGUAACUGACGCUGAGGAGCGAAAGCAUGGGGAGCGAACAGG